UUCUAUUUCUUUAUCUUCUUCAUCUUCACUCUUUCUCUCUCCUCUAAUUCAUCCCGCCGGCGGUAACAUUCGUCGUCUUUUCGACUUCCGGCGGCCACUCAUCGCCGUAAUAUGUUGCCGUGCUUCUUCUUCAGUUGCAUUUCCGAAGAAAAAGCACUGGAAACAAGGGGAAUACCCAGGAUUCACUGAACAAUCUGGUUUUAAAAACAAUAAGAG
rnacentral:misc_RNA from 1 species